rfam:Populus trichocarpa isolate Nisqually-1 chromosome 12, whole genome shotgun sequence.
UAAUUUUUCUAAAACAGAUUUUCAUAUAAUUAUGACAGAGUCACAACUUCCUACUAAGAUUAACCCAUUAUUGCAUAGCAUAUACAUCUUGAUUCUAGAACAGGACAGAUUCCUCGCUUUGAUAGACAAGAGAAAUACCGUGUCAAUGGCUAUGAGAGCUUA